GCAUUAAUGGGGUAGUGGUAACCUGGGUCGUUGCCAUCAUAUUGAAGUCCAAGCUUGAUUUAUGUCGACCCGCCGGGGGUUCGAUUCCCUCUUAAUGCA